GGGGUAGCAGCUUAGCAGGUCAAGCAUCCGACUCUUAAUCGGAAGAACGAUAGGUUCGAAUCCUUCCUGCCCCA
rnacentral:tRNA from 1 species